UGGAUGAUGAUGAUCGUGUAGGUACGUCUGGGAACGGGCCAUCCUAUGGCAUAAGUACACUGCAUACUGGUACAUAUGGUUUAUUGUAGCAGCUCACCAAGUAGCACGAACUACCGAAAUGGCACAUGCAUGCAUGUAGCUAGAAGGCCACCGAUACUUGUCGAUUUUGUUUUGCUUGAAGCAUGCAUAUUCAUAGCCCUCCCUCAUGUUGAAAUAUUGCUCCAAAAGGUGGAUUUUAGCCUUUCCAGCUGGUGCUUUACCUAUAUAUUAACAAUCAUGAACUGCAUCAGGAAACACAUAUCUUCAGUGCAAUGCGGUGACUGUUUCAUUAAGAAUAUGUGCAUGUGCAUAAUCGGGAACACCGACCAAAAUGGCAUUUAUCUCCUCUAGCAGAGGUUGUGCAAUGGAGACCAAGACCAUGACAUCUUCACCAAAAUACCCAGGAUCCUGGCAGCUCCCCAUCAGCAACUGAAUGAAGAUGUCUCUUUCCGGAAUAAGACACAAUGCUACCUGAAAGUUUGCAACUAUGCUCGCGACAUUAGUUCAGUGGACACAACUCAAACCAGCUAAUGGCUGCAAUAACAGCUUGAUAUUACUAAUGUAUUGCCAUUUAUCAAAAGUAAUGAACUAGAUUUAUCAGGUGAACAAUCUCCUGAAAAUUGCUAGCUUGUGCAGUCGUGUAAAACUAAAAGUCGUGAUGAUGAACAGCAGUAUGUCAGCUGAUCAAAGUAAAGUGGUCAUACCUUGUAAGCAGCUGAUGAGAUCCAUCCAUGGAACGGCUUGAGGGUGCUCUUGUAUGCUUCUUCCA